AUUGAACGCUGGCGGCAGGCCUAACACAUGCAAGUCGAACGAGUGGCGGACGGGUGAGUAAUGUCUGGGCAACUGCCUGAUGGAGGGGGAUAACUACUGGAAACGGUAGCUAAUACCGCCUACCAUCGGAUGUGCCCAGAUGGGAUUAGCUAGUAGGUGGGGUAACGGCUCACCUAGGCGACGAUCCCUAGCUGGUCUGAGAGGAUGACCACCCAAACUGGAAUGGAGAAAGGGCCCAGACUCCUACGGGAGGCAGCAGGGGGGAAUAUUGCACAAUGGGCGCAAGCCGGAUGCAGCCAGGCCGCGUGUAUGAAGAAGGCCUUCGGGUUGUAAAGUACUUUAAGCGGGGAGGCGUUACCCGAAGAAGAAGCAACGGCUAACUCCGUGCCAGCAGCCGCGGUAAUAC
rnacentral:rRNA from 1 species